CGGGCCGGGAGCGCGGCCGCCAUGUGGCCGUGCGGCGGGCGGCGGCAGCGCCGUGUCGGCGGGGUCGCGCUGGUCGCGGUCGUGCUGUGGGUGCUGGUGCGGAGGUAUUACCCGUGCCUGCUGCCGGCUGUUUCAGAGCCCUGUGGGAAUGCUGUGCUGUACAGGUUUAACUGGAGCGAACUGGUCCCUCUGCGGUUAUGGGGGAGGACCCUGGGCCUGCAGGCAGAGCACUCGCAGUUCCUGCUGGAGGGCAUGCCGUUCCGCAUCUUUGGAGGCUCCAUGCACUACUUCCGAGUGCCCAGGGAAUACUGGGAAGAUCGAAUGCUGAAAAUGAAAGCCUGUGGCUUGAACACCCUCACGACGUACGUGCCAUGGAACCUCCAUGAACGAGACCGAGGGAAGUUCGACUUCAGUGGGAACCUGGAUCUCGGGGCCUUCCUUUCGCUGGCAGCUAAGAACGGCUUGUGGGUGCUUCUGCGUCCUGGCCCUUACAUCUGCUCCGAGUGGGACCUUGGGGGUCUGCCCAGCUGGCUCCUGCAGGACCCAGAGAUGCAGCUGAGGACAACAUACAAGGGCUUCACGGAAGCCGUGGAUGCUUAUUUCGACCGUCUGAUGCCUCUUGUGGUCCCUCUUCAGUACAAGAAAGGAGGUCCCAUCAUUGCAGUGCAAGUGGAGAACGAGUAUGGCUCCUAUGCCAAAGACCCAAACUACAUGGCCUAUGUUAAAACGGCCCUGCUAAACAGAGGGAUUGUGGAAAUGUUAAUGACCUCGGACAACAAGAAUGGGCUGUCCUAUGGCUUAGUGGAAGGAGCACUGGCCACUGUUAACUUCCAGAAGCUGGAACCUGGGCUGCUGAAACAUCUGGACUCGGUGCAGAGAGAUCAGCCCAAGAUGGUGAUGGAGUAUUGGACGGGAUGGUUCGAUAACUGGGGGGGCCCUCACUAUGUCUUUGAUGCGGACGAGAUGGUGAAUACUGUAGCCAGCAUCCUCAAACUGGGAGCAUCCAUCAAUCUCUACAUGUUUCACGGAGGCACCAACUUUGGCUUCAUGAACGGUGCGUUGGAGGCUGAUGAAUACAAGUCAGAUGUCACCAGUUAUGAUUACGAUGCUGUGCUGACAGAGGCUGGAGAUUAUACAUCCAAAUUCUUCAAGCUCCGGCAGCUCUUCAGCAUGAUCAUUGGCCAGCCUCUUCCUCUCCCUCCUGUGAUUGAAAGCAAGGCAUCAUACGGUGCAAUCCUGCUGCAUCAGUACAUCUCUCUCUGGGAUGUGAUACCAUCUCUUCUACAGCCCAUUAAGUCAGAGUUUCCCAUUAACAUGGAGAAUCUGCAGCUGAAUGAGAGCAGCGGGCAGGCCUAUGGGUACGUGCUCUAUGAGACUGUCAUAUUCGGUGGUGGCCACCUCCACUCAAGGAACCACGUCCGUGACCGAGCACAGGUGUUUGUUAACACCAUGUAUGUUGGUGAGCUGGACUACAACAUAGUGGAGCUCUCCCUUCCUGAAGGACAGGGAUUCAGGCAGUUGAGACUCUUGGUAGAGAACCGUGGUCGUGUCAAUUAUGGCCUGGCACUCAAUGAGCAGAGAAAAGGCUUAAUUGGUGAUGUCUUCUUGAAUAAUACCCCCUUGAGGAACUUCAAGAUGUACAGCUUGGAGAUGAAACCUGCCUUCAUGAAGAGCUUGCAGCGUGUGACGGGCUGGAGCGCCGUCCCGGAUUACUUUGUGGGUCCAGCUUUCUUCCGUGGAAGGCUGUGGAUCGAGCAUCAGCCCCAGGACACGUUCCUGAAGCUACAGGCAAGUCCUUUGUGUUUUCUGGAUCAAGAGGUUUGGAAGCUGCGUGGUCUGGGCUCUGUGUAGUCUGUAGUGGUCCUGCUGGGAGAACACGGGCGAUGCUGAGCCUGCAGAGCUGCUCCUCUAUUGACAGUGUUUUCUGCUUGCUACUCUCUAGUUGCAGAGCACACCAAAGGAAGGAGGCACUGGUUUUAACCCUACCUCCUCAAUGGGGCAUGGAAAGAGGCACUUCUUUGUAGACGUGAGAGUUAGCAUUCGCUCACAUCUUCCUUCUGUGGCUUAUUGCUGCUCUUGCAGAGAACUCCAGCUAUCGUUCAGCUUCCUUCUCUGAUUUCAUUCCCUUCAAGCCAGGGUUGAUGCCAAUCAUUAUUGUAGUGCUCCCUUUUCCAGUUAUGCUUUGCUGUCAGUGCAGGAUUUCUGUCACCUGGGGAAAUAGGUGGGAAAUAGGUUCUGUGCCUGGGAAGAAAUCACGAUGUGUCUGUCAAAAGGAUGAGGUUUUCCUGUACAAGCUUUGGAAGCUUUAUCCUUUUCAUUAGUGCUUUAGGGAUAACUCCUGUUCAAUGGGGCUUAAACGUUCCUGGCUUCAGGGAGAGCAAGCAGAAAACCUGCGGGAAGUGGCCUGGAAGAAGGCGAGUGUGAAGCAGACCGAAUUCCCAGUGGGAAUGCCAGGCAGGCAGUACAGCUGCCUCCGUAACCCGGUGUUCUCCUGGUUCUAGGGCUGGGAAAAGGGAGUUGUGUUUGUCAACGGGCAGAACCUGGGCCGCUACUGGAAGAUCGGCCCUCAGGAAACACUCUACCUUCCUGGUCCCUGGCUGCGGAAAGGGAGCAAUGAGAUUGUCAUUUUUGAGGAGCGCACUGCAGGAAGGAUCAUACAGUCUGUGGACAUUCCUUAUUUAGGAAGGACCCAGUAUGUGGACUGAUGAAAGCUUCUUCCCCAUGUUUGGUUCACCUUGAACAUUCCUGGUUGCAUGGCUGGGAUGUGAUGGUCCAGGCACUUGGGCAUGUUAAAUCCCACUCGACCCAGGUAAAGGAUUUACGCUUUGGCAGUAAGUUCAGAAGAGAGAAUGGGCCCUGAAGGUGGGUCUGUUGUUUCAUAGAUGGAUGUGGAAGCUCAUCUCCCUGGACUACUGAGGACCCACAGCUUGGGUGGCUGCGCAUGAUGCUAUGGACAGCCUGAAUGUGGGAGAGUCAAAGUGCUAGAGGCAGGAGAAGGAGAGAGAAAGAACUGAAACCACCCGAACUGAAAGCUGAGCCCAGCUCCCCAGUGACUUGCAAGAUGUGUUGUUAUUGGCCUCCUCGUUUCUAUCAUUAGAUAGUGAGAAAAUAGUUGGUGAACAUGGGAGGAACGAGGUGUGGAGAACUCAGCAACUCACUCUGCAAAGAGGCCGUUUCCUUGUUCACUCGUUGGAAGCCAGGCUGUCGUCAGAUGGCUUUAAUUCAAGCUGUUUUCCCACUCAGUUUUACUCUGGAGGUUUGUGUCUCUCUCAAAAAGGAUUAAAAAGGGUUUGAAGAA